AUUGAACGCUGGCGGCAUGCCUUACACAUGCAAGUCGAACGGCAGCACGGGAGCUUGCUCCUGGUGGCGAGUGGCGAACGGGUGAGUAAAGCAUCGGAACGUGCCCUGAAGUGGGGGAUAACGUAGCGAAAGUUACGCUAAUACCGCAUAUUCUGUGAGCAGGAAAGCAGGGGAUCUUAGGACCUUGUGCUUUAGGAGCGGCCGAUGUCGGAUUAGCUAGUUGGUGAGGUAAAGGCUCACCAAGGCGACGAUCCGUAGCGGGUCUGAGAGGAUGAUCCGCCACACUGGGACUGAGACACGGCCCAGACUCCUACGGGAGGCAGCAGUGGGGAAUUUUGGACAAUGGGCGCAAGCCUGAUCCAGCCAUGCCGCGUGAGUGAAGAAGGCCUUCGGGUUGUAAAGCUCUUUCGGUGGGGAAGAAAUUGCUUGGGUUAAUACCCUAAGUAGAUGACGGUACCCGCAUAAGAAGCACCGGCUAACUACGUG
rnacentral:rRNA from 1 species